GCGCUGCAGUCUGUCCACACUGACAGCUGCAAGUGCACUGGUGCAGCCACAUUUGCGGCACUUGCAGCGGCAUUGGGAGUGGUGCAUUAUGGGCAGCUAUCCCACAGAGCACCUCUUCCCAUUUUGGCGCUUGGCUUGUGGGAAGGGCGCGGGAGGGCGGGGCAUUCUGGGUCCUGUCCCAAAACCCCAUGAUGCAUUAGUUCACAUCCCAGCAAUCCCUAUGCUUCCAUCCACAUUUGGCGCCAUCUUUCAAUGUUCUUUGUACUGCGCGCUGUGUCUUCCUUUUCGGUAUGCGGGAAUGGAGCCCGAAUUGCUGAGGAGAAUUUUCAAUGCUGUAAAG